rnacentral:lncRNA from 1 species
UCUCAAUGUCAGCCUUAGGAAGGGUAACAUCCACAUCUGGGCCCUCUCCUUUGAAUCCUGGCAUGCUGAAUUUGGGCAUUUUCACCUUGGGCAUCUUCAGGUGCCAGUCUGGGCCAUGAACAUCCACAUCUGGGGCAUCAAUGUCCACUUUGGGGCCCUUGAUGUCAACUUCAGGGGCCUUUAGAUCACCUUCCAUCUUAGGCAGAGAAACAUCCACAUCUGGGGCAUCAAUGUCCACUUUGGG